rnacentral:lncRNA from 1 species
GGUCAUAGUAAAUUCAGCAUGAAAGAGAAUAUUACAGAAAAGACAGCAGCAGAAGCAUUAGCAUUAUCUAAUAUUUAUAUAUGUUAUCAACAUAACACAGCAGUAAAAGGUUUAAAUGCAUAUCAAUGGGUACCAUGUCUAAAAAUUACUAUAGUACCUAUUUAGUGUAUUGGAUAUUUUUCUUAAAGAGUGUUUGCUGUAACUAGAACAGCAUAAUACAUGAUUUAGUACAGUUAAUUCUUAUUGAUUAAAUAAUGUAUUUAUGUACUGAAGAAAGUGAAAAGGAGACAGAUAUUUUUUGCUUCAUUUUGAUUCCAGAUUUAACAUUUAAAUGAAGAUUCCAAAGGACCAUGACAUGUCAUUAUUUAACUGAAAUGGGCUUCAAAAUAUUUAAAAGACGGUAUGAUUUGUAUCUAAACAGCAAGGUGGCACCAGAUACACGUAAUGCUACUGGCCUAUGAC